rnacentral:misc_RNA from 1 species
GCUUCACAAGGUAAUGUAGAUAAGAUAUUUUUAUCUUUGUAUGUCUGAAUAGGUUACCAGUUGAUACAAAACUCAGCAGAAAUGAAUCUGUAUAAUUCAUUUAUUUUAAUCAACUGUGGCUCUGUAUAGUUCAUAUCUCGGGAUCUCAUCUCAACGCUGUAGUGCUACAAAACAAUCUAUACAAUGUACAACACCUAAGCCUGAGAAUCACGUUGAACGGAUACAGGAUCUAGAAUAGGACUGAAAAAAACACAAUGCUUG